GCUUAACACAUGCAAGUCGAACGAUGAAGCCUAGCUUGCUAGGUGGAUUAGUGGCGAACGGGUGAGUAAUACGUGAGUAACCUACCUUUAACUCUGGGAUAAGCCCGGGAAACUGGGUCUAAUACCGGAUACGACCAAUCUCCGCAUGGGGUGUUGGUGGAAAGCGUUAUGUAGUGGUUAUAGAUGGGCUCACGGCCUAUCAGCUUGUUGGUGAGGUAACGGCUCACCAAGGCGACGACGGGUAGCCGGCCUGAGAGGGUGACCGGCCACACUGGGACUGAGACACGGCCCAGACUCCUACGGGAGGCAGCAGUGGGGAAUAUUGCACAAUGGGCGCAAGCCUGAUGCAGCGACGCCGCGUGAGGGAUGACGGCCUUCGGGUUGUAAACCUCUGUUAGCAGGGAAGAAGAGAGAUUGACGGUACCUGCAGAGAAAGCGCCGGCUAACUACGUGCCAGCAGCCGCGGUAAUACGUAGGGCGCGAGCGUUGUCCGGAAUUAUUGGGCGUAAAGAGCUUGUAGGCGGUUUGUCGCGUCUGCUGUGAAAGGCCGGAGCUUAACUCCGUGUAUUGCAGUGGGUACGGGCAGACUAGAGUGCAGUAGGGGAGACUGGAAUUCCUGGUGUAGCGGUGGAAUGCGCAGAUAUCAGGAGGAACACCGAUGGCGAAGGCAGGUCUCUGGGCUGUAACUGACGCUGAGAAGCGAAAGCAUGGGGAGCGAACAGGAUUAGAUACCCUGGUAGUCCAUGCCGUAAACGUUGGGCACUAGGUGUGGGGGACAUUCCACGUUUUCCGCGCCGUAGCUAACGCAUUAAGUGCCCCGCCUGGGGAGUACGGCCGCAAGGCUAAAACUC
rnacentral:rRNA from 1 species